CUUAAGCAGUUAGAAUUAAUGUACCAGAGUUAUAUAUGCCCUGAAUGUUAAUCAGGUACUGUGUUACAAACACUCAAUCAGAGCUGUUGUUUUUUUUUUUAGUCUAUAUUAGGAUACAGCCAUGAACAACUGUUACUCUAAAUCAUUCCUUUUGUGUACUGAAGAUAUUUAAAAAUUAUGACCCAACUAUUUUUUCUUUCAAAUUACUUGGGUAAAAUAGUAAUUGACCUAAUAUUCUGUUAGAUAUUGUAUUUAUCAUUAUUUUUAUCUGUAUUCAUUGUUAAGCUGAUUAGCAUUUGAAUAGACAUCCUUUUCUGUUUUUUUCUUUCUUUUUUUUUUGGUCUUUUUGCCAUUUCUGGGCUGUAGCUCCGAUUGGACCCCUAGCCUGGGAACCUCCAUAUGCCAUGGGUGUGGCCCUAAAAAGACAAAAAAAUAAAAUAAAAACUACCAUUUUAACACAAACAUAAAUGUAUUAUUUCUUUUAAAAGCAAAAUAUGGCAAGCACUGUAUUAUAUAAUGUCCCUUGCUAUUGUAAGAGUUCUGACCGCAAGUUAGUGGUGAUAUUUGUAUCUAAAAAGAGGGCUACAUUUCCUAUGAUACUGUGAUUUUAAAAAUGAACUAGACUACCAUAUCAACAAAAGCACAGAUUCUAAGCCAGUAUUAGGUGAAAUUGUAUAGUAUUCACUUUUAAAGUUUUUUUUUUUUUUUUAAUGCCACUUUAUGUUAUGUCCUCCUUGGUAAUUUUAAAAAUAUAUGUAUUUUUCUUUAACCAACUGUUGGUGACCUCAUUAAGAGGGACUUCAUAUUCCUAAUUCUGGUGCUCAUACAUAUGAACUACUCUGUACGUUAAAUUGUUGAUGAGCAGAAGUAAAAUGAGGUUAACAUUAUGAUUAAAAUCAUUCCUGAUGUUUAUAGUAUAUAUUUAUUGACUGAGCUUAAACUAUAAAUUAUAAGGCAAGUUAUCAGCAGAAUAUUUCAUUAAAGGGCACAGGAAAUUUCCCUUCUGCUUUUAUAUAAAGCAUUUCCUAAUUCAGGAGAAUAUCAGUGAUUGCCAAGAGAAUGAAUGAGUGCCUUUCGGAAGCCUUCUGGAUGUUUGUUCCAGCACCAGGAUCUCUCCUAAACCCAGAGUUGGCUGCUGUGGUUUUUCUGGCUGUUGCCUGCUAUGGAAUCAUUUUAAACCCUCUUGCGUCCUCACUCACAGCCCUCACAUCCUCUCUCCCACGUCUUUGUCCCCUAGGUCAGCUGACACUUCUUUACAGCUCAUGUAUUUUGACCAAGACAGCAUAAACAAGGCUUCCAUGUUAAAAUCCCUGCAGUUUUUAGUGUAUCCUUUUUGGAGACCAAGGUUAUGCUUUAUAAAGUGUUUCCUUCUGCUUCAUGGGGGCUAGCAGUUUGCAAAACAAAAAGUUAUUUGAAGUCCUUCCCUCCCGAUCUUACACUCUCCACCUGCUGACCACAAAGUUGGGUUUAAUCAGAAUCUAAAAAUUAUCUGCCAAGGCUACUACUGUGUCUUCCAACAGUUGGCUGAGUCAAGAACCAGUUAAAUAUUUAAAUAUAAGAAACAGUGCACAAACUUUUAGUCAUUCUCGUAACUACAUGUGAAACUCAUGUGCUAGCUGUUGUUUUGCCCCAUGGAGAGCUUUGAAAAAUAUAAACCAUCCCCUUUUAAAGAAGCUUUCAGUUGAGCACACAUACCCCAAAAGAUGUUUUAAAUGUGGGAGAGUAUCAUAUUCCUUCUCCCCCUUAUCCGUCCUUCAUAGCUGACUGAAACUGACCAGUUAUUUAAACUUGCUCCUUCCAUAUCCCAUGAGAAACAACUAUACGCAUUUUGUCGUGAGCUACUUUAAAAAACAACUCUUGAUAGCUAACAUUUUAGUGGGAAAAAAAAAAAGAUUGGAUGCAUUCUGUAAUUGAGAAAAUACAAUAAAACUUAGAUCCCACGGAUACUGUAUUUACUACACUGAUUCAUGUGCUUCCAUCAAAUCCUUUUAUUCAUAAGGAGGAGACAGAGGAGCAUAUUUUAUAAAGCUGAGCCCAAAAGGAUGCUGAAAGAAACCUUAGACAAGAGAUGCCAGGUCACACUAGAGAAGGCUGGUGUUCUUGUAUGUGUCUCCAGCAGGUGUUCCUUCUUUAUCCGAGGCAGCUGCAAAUGCAGAGGCCCCACCAGAGUCUAGGAAAACGAGAAGGGUUACCUUUGGCAUCGUCCUACAUUUCUGAACCUCUCUCCAACCUCUUUUCCCCUGUUCCCUCGUGUACCCAGUCUCUUGCCCUCUGCCCAAGAUGCUUAAUCAAAAGUCCUUUUAACCAAAAGCUUGCUUUGUGUAUGUAACAUGUAAAAUGAGAUUGUCAGAGCAACCAACCCGUGUUUACUACAAAGGUGUGAUGGAACAACGAAGCGGAGAAGACAGUUUUCAAGGGCAGUUUUGUUAGGCAAAUGAAUAUUUUAUAUUUGGUUGGCAGAGUAUAUCCAGACAUAGAGAAGCCUAUUUAGUAAUUUGGUGAAAAUAUAAAUGUUAUCACAACAUAUGUCUUAGAAUGUGGUUUCAUUAUACUCAGUUUUUGAAAUUUGAGAUCCAUUGUAGUCCAGUGUCAUAACUGGGCCUUCCAGAGAGGUAAAUCCUAUUUCUCUUACUAUACUGUACACUCUUGAAGACAGAUCCUAUAUGUAAUAUAUUGGUUUCUCACAAAAUACCUACCCUGUGUCUUUAAAGAGAAAAAUACUUGUUGAAGAAAGUAAGGACAGGAUUCCUGUCAUCUCUAACUCAAAGAAAAUCCCCAAAGUACCUCAUGAUAACUCAGAUCUCAGACCUGCUCUUUCCACCAUAUGCCUGCAAGGCCAUAUUUGCACGUACCUGUUGGAUAUCUACAUGUCUUUAAGCAUUUUCAGUUUUACAAACCUAAAACUCAACUCAGUUUCUUUUCAUUGAACUCUGUAUAUCUCUCUUCUGCAAUGGAAAAAUACCAUUCUAGGCUCCAGAAUCUGCCUCCAAGUCUCAACAAGACCCUCUAACCGUUGCUCUUGUAUCCUUUCCAGCUUCGUUGCCCUUCUGUUACUGCAUCAGCCCUAGCUCAAGCCCUUCCCAAUGAUGGGCAUAACUUUUCGAAUUCCAGUGCCUUCUUUGCAUGGUCCCAUUCUAAACACGGCCAGAACCAUCUUGUAAAGCAUAGUUCUGAUCUAGUUUCACCCCUGCUCUUUACACCAUUGGCUUCCAAGGGGCUUGCUGUGGAAUACUUUUCCUCAGGUGUCGUACCCUGCAGCUAACCCUAACCCAACCUUUCUCUUUUCACACCAUUUUAUUGUUUCUCCUCCUUGCCCCCGCCUCCAUUUCUGCCUAUUUAUCCAAGACUUCUCUGUAACGGUUGAUACUAGUCCCUCCCCACCCCGCCUCCGUUCCUCUGAUCUAGUCUCUUUCUCCAUGUUCCCAUAGCCUUUGGCCCUUAAACAGACUUGCUUAUGGUGCUUAUCAUAUUCUGUCCUUGAGAACAGCAACUGUAUUUUGCUCAUUAGAGAUUCCCUCUCAGCAUCUGGCAGAAUGUCUUGCAUGUGCUAGACAUUCAGUAUUUGUUUGGUGAAUUAAAUUAAUUCAAAUGGAUCUCUUUUUUUUUUUUUUUUUUUUUUUGAGUGCCUCUAAUAUACAAAUGGCAUUCUGGAGCCUAUGCCACUUCUAAUGUUAUUUUCUAAUGGAAAUUUUCUAGUACGAUUUUAAGACAAAGUAGUAAAAAAUGUUCAAAAAGCUUCAAUAUUAAAUUCUCCUUUUUGUGGGGACUAGGAUGAAGGGGCAGCUCUCUUUUAUAUGAGUUGGUCUUAGCACAUGAAGAACCAAUCUUGAAAUACUAUCUUUUUUAAUGACAUAGAU
rnacentral:lncRNA from 1 species